UUAAUUCGACCGCCUGGGGAGUACGGCCGCAAGGUUAAAACUCAAAUGAAUUGGACGGGGGCCCGCACAAGCGGUGGAGCAUGUGGUUUAUUUCGAUGCAACGCGAAGAACCUUACCUGGUCUUGACAUCCACAGAACUUUUCAGAGAUGGAUUGGUGCCUUCGGGAACUGUGAGACAGGUGCUGCAUGGCUGUCGUCAGCUCGUGUUGUGAAAUGUUGGGUUAAGUCCCGCAACGAGCGCAACCCUUAUCCUUUGUUGCCAGCGGUUCGGCCGGGAACUCAAAGGAGACUGCCAGUGAUAAACUGGAGGAAGGUGGGGAUGACGUCAAGUCAUCAUGGCCCUUACGACCAGGGCUACACACGUGCUACAAUGGCGNAUACAAAGAGAAGCGACCUCGCGAGAGCAAGCGGACCUCAUAAAGUAUGUCGUAGUCCGGAUUGGAGUCUGCAACUCGACUCCAUGAAGUCGGAAUCGCUAGUAAUCGUAGAUCAGAAUGCCACGGUGAAUACGUUCCCGGGCCUUGUACACACCGCCCGUCACACCAUGGGAGUGGGUUGCAAAAGAAGUAGGUAGCUUAUGCCUUC
rnacentral:rRNA from 1 species